rnacentral:rRNA from 1 species
AUUGAACGCUGGCGGAAUGCUUUACACAUGCAAGUCGAACGGCAGCACGGGGGCAACCCUGGUGGCGAGUGGCGAACGGGUGAGUAAUACAUCGGAACGUGCCCGGUCGUGGGGGAUAACGUAGCGAAAGUUACGCUAAUACCGCAUACGAUCUGAGGAUGAAAGCGGGGGACCUUCGGGCCUCGCGCGAUCGGAGCGGCCGAUGUCAGAUUAGGUAGUUGGUGGGGUAAAGGCCUACCAAGCAGACGAUCUGUAGCUGGUCUGAGAGGACGACCAGCCACACUGGGACUGAGACACGGCCCAGACUCCUACGGGAGGCAGCAGUGGGGAAUUUUGGACAAUGGGCGCAAGCCUGAUCCAGCCAUUCCGCGUGCAGGACGAAGGCCUUCGGGUUGUAAACUGCUUUUGUAUGGAACGAAAAGGCUCUGGCUAAUACCUGGGGCUCAUGACGGUACCGUAAGAAUAAGCACCGGCUAACUACGUG